GCCAGGUGUGGUGGUGCAUGCCUGUAAUCCCAGCUACUCAGGAGGCUGAGGCAGGAGAAUCGCUUGAACCUGGGAGGUCGAGGUUGCAGUGAGCCAAGAUCGUGCCACUGCACUCUAGCCUGAGCGACAGAGCAAGACUCUGUCUCAA
rnacentral:sRNA from 1 species